GGUGAACGCUAGCGGCAGGCCUAACACAUGCAAGUCGAGGGGUAACUAGAGUGAUAGCAAUAUUACUUUGGCUAGACCGGCGCACGGGUGCGUAACACGUAUGCAACCUACCUUAUACUGGGGAAUAACUUCGAGAAAUCGGCGCCAAUACCCCAUAACAUUGCGAAGAGGCAUCUCUUUGCAAUUAAAGCUCCGGCGGUAUAAGAUGGGCAUGCGUCCAAUUAGCUAGUUGGUGAGGUAACGGCUCACCAAGGCUACGAUUGGUAGGGGUUCUGAGAGGAUGAUCCCCCACACUGGUACUGAGACACGGACCAGACUCCUACGGGAGGCAGCAGUGAGGAAUAUUGCGCAAUGGACGAGAGUCUGACGCAGCCAUGCCGCGUGCAGGAUGACGGCCCUAUGGGUUGUAAACUGCUUUUGUACGGGAAUAAACCCUUCUACGUGUAGGAGGCUGAAGGUACCGUAAGAAUAAGCACCGGCUAACUCCGUGCCAGCCGCCGCCGUAAAAC
rnacentral:rRNA from 1 species